rnacentral:lncRNA from 1 species
AUCCUGUUCCACAUUAUGAAGCCUUUUUGAGAUAUCCAACGUCUUCAUCUGCAAUGAGUGCUCUAGUUCCAUCCUCAAUUGCAUUGAGUGUUCCAUCUACAUCUGCAAUAAUUGUUACAUCUUCAGCUGCUACAAGUGGUAAGUUUAUAAACUAUUAUUUUCUAAUAUGUGUAUGCAUAAUAUACA